rnacentral:rRNA from 1 species
AGAUUGAACGCUGGCGGCAUGCCUUACACAUGCAAGUCGAACGGCAGCACGGGAGCAAUCCUGGUGGCGAGUGGCGAACGGGUGAGUAAUAUAUCGGAACGUGCCCAGUCGGUGGGGAUAACGUAGAGAAUUUACGCUAAUACCGCAUACGAUCCAAGGAUGAAGGCGGGGACCGUAAGGCCUCGCGCGACUGGAGCGGCUGAUAUCAGAUUAGCUUGGUUGGUAGAGGUAAAGCUCACCGAAGGCGACGAUCUGUAGCUGGUUGAGAGAACGACCAGCCACACUGGGACUGAGACGACCGGACCCAGACCGUCCGUACGGGAGGCGAGCGAGGUACGGGUAAGUUUUGGAAC